rnacentral:misc_RNA from 1 species
AGCUGCUACGCUCCUCUGACCGCAGUAGCCUUUUACGAAUGCUUCGGCACGGUAUCUCUUACAUCAGCGGUGCGCGAUGGAUGAACGGGAUCGCCUGUGCCGCAUCUGUGCGUGUCACAAGUGCCGGGUCGUCCGUGAGUGGCCCGCUUGAUCAUUCUACACUGGCGGCCCUGCGCACUCCCGCGCGCCACAAGGCGUCAACAAUCCGCAUUGCAAAUCGAAAGAAGGUUGAGAUGUUUGUCGGGAAGCGCUACCACCUUCCAACACGACUACGCGUUGCAGCGCCGGACAUUGCGGCGGAGUGGGAUCAUGAAAAGAACCCCAUGCAUCUCUACCCAGACAUCGUGAGCAUCGGCUACAUGCAUCCCGUGUACUGGAAGUGCCGAGGGUGCGCCACUUCGUACCAGAUGAGUGUGGAAAAGCGCGUGGUACGCGGUGGCAGAUGCCCUGUCUGCGAAGAUCGGGAGCUGAGCAGAUCGAUGGCGUUCAACACCGCAGCCAUGGACGUCGGCAGUGCGCACGCUCGUGAAGCUGGUAUUGAGUCUGGCAGCGCUAUGCAACCGCUGCUGCCCGGCGAGGAGAAUCGGUCACUGCGGCCGAAGCGCACCACGAUGCUUAACUUGCGGACCAAGUACUGAGCUGAAGCGUGGAAAGCAAGGGGUGGGCUGACGACAGGUGUAUGCGCUCCUCGCUCACUCGGGUUCGCCCUUGUCGUCAUCUUGUCUUUUUUUGUUUGCCUCCCUUUCCCUCACACACACACACACACACAUGAACGGCGCACUUCCCAAGCCAAGCACUCGUUGAGGUACACAGUAAAGCUCACCAGAUGUCUUUAGCAAGGAUGUGUUGCGUGUCUUUACGAGAG